rnacentral:rRNA from 1 species
GACGAACGCUGGCGGCGUGCUUAACACAUGCAAGUCGAACGGAAAGGCCCUGCUUUUGUGGGGUGCUCGAGUGGCGAACGGGUGAGUAACACGUGAGUAACCUGCCCUUGACUUUGGGAUAACUUCAGGAAACUGGGGCUAAUACCGGAUAGGAGCUCCUGCUGCAUGGUGGGGGUUGGAAAGUUUCGGCGGUUGGGGAUGGACUCGCGGCUUAUCAGCUUGUUGGUGGGGUAGUGGCUUACCAAGGCUUUGACGGGUAGCCGGCCUGAGAGGGUGACCGGCCACAUUGGGACUGAGAUACGGCCCAGACUACUACGGGAGGCAGCAGUGGGGAAUAUUGCACGAUAGGCGGAAGCCUGAUGCAGCAACACCGCGUGCGGGAUGACGGCCUUCGGGUUGUAAACCGCUUUCACCUGUGACGAAGCGUGAGUGACGGUAAUGGGUAAAGAAGCACCGGCUAACUACGUG